CAGAGUAGGACAGGCGCGUUAAGUGCCGCAGGAUGGGAAGUUGCCUGCGGACGAAGCAUUCAACAUGCGCGGUGCCUGUGCCGCAUCCGCUGC
rnacentral:ncRNA from 1 species